GGAGAAAAUAUCCUCGAUUCAUUUCAAGUUUUCAACCACUCGCUUCUCUCUCACUCUCUUUAUCCGAUCUGAAGAAAAAAUCUCUCCCGCGAUUGAAUCUUACCCCGCCAUUGAAACCAGAGGAAGCUAGAUACUGAAGGACUUUCCUGUUGUUGCUGAAGCUGAAGUGAGGUCGUUGGCAUCAUUGUACUAUGUGGUGGGUAGAUCAGCAAAUGCAUUGGCUCUUUAUUUCGGAGAAGAUCCUGCAAGCUGCUCUUUUGAGCAAGGUAUUUCAAGUGCUUUUAAUUUCUGGCGUUUAGUCUUUGUUGUUUUUGACAAUAGAAAAGAACGUAACUGAUACAACCAUUGCAAGACCAGAUCCAGCUAAUGAGAAUCCAGUUUCUGAAGAAACUGGUGGUUUAAGUGGAAAACCUCUAUUUGUCCUGGCAACCAACGUGCUCAGUUACAUGUGUCUCUUGACAAGGUUUAUUUGGGAGUCUAUCUGAGCCUGCUACAUUUGGUGCUUCCAUAGAACGUGAAGACUUCUCGUGAAUUAUUGAUACUUUUUCAUUGAAUUAUAGAACGUGAAGACUUCUAUCUAGCUAGUUUCAAGGACUAAUAGCCAAUUUUGGCAUAUAUUUACAGGCCCGCAUUGAGGAAGACUCUGUAUAGUGUAUGUCUAUGGUCGAAAGAAAAUGUCGUGCUGGAAUACACAAAGAUGCCCGUUUAUUGAAAAUUUGUAUAUUACAUUCCCAGAACACGCCAGAUUCGUCUUACUCACAAACAUCAACACAACAAGGCCAGUUACAGACUUCUGAUUCUUCUAUUCGACCCUCUCCUUAAUCAGGUAUUUCCAUCGCAGCUUUCACCUGACAGUAGGUCAAGUGCCAGUUUCCCAGCCUCGGGUCCAGCAGACUGCCUCAGUUUCUCAACAGCUGAUGCCUCCGAACUUGCAACAAGGUGUCUCUGGGCUUGCUGGUAUUCACCAGAAGCUGCAAUUGCGUCAGCCUCCAUGCCAAUCCUCUUCCUAGCUAGCUCAGGUCCUGUCUCGGCAGACGCAAGCUUUACAAGCUGGCUUUCAGUCAUCAAAACAAGCAUUCUCUCAGCUACAACAAAAGUUGUAUAUGAUGCAGCAGUCUGGUCAAAAUCUAUCUCAGCAGCAGAAAGCCUAGGCAACUAAACUACAGGUUGUUUGUAUGGAUUAUCCACGACCUGAACUCGAUAACACAGUUAAUUACUUAGAAACUGGUUACUUUAUUGAAUGUUGUCAUUGCUGGUGCAGGUAACUAUUACUAUGUCAUUCUUUCCUUUACUCUUCCUGUCUUUCUUUCAGACAUUUGAUUUACUUAUCUAGUUUUGCUUAUACUUGUGUAUCGUGCUUUACAUUUGUACCUGGGAAAUAUUAUCAUCUCAACAUGUUUAUACUACUUGCAUUCAUUCUGGUUUAAUAUAUGACAUCGUACCUAGUGAUGAGGAAGCUUUCCUAUGCUGUAUGGGGUAUGAUGCAACAGAGAUUUCAGUUUUUGUAAAGGAUAAGGAGGUUGAUUGCGAUGCAAUCUAGUUAUCGAGUAGUCCUGGUGAUCUCAAUUAUCCAUCUGUUAAGUUCAAUGUUAAAAAAUUCGAUUCUUUUUGAAAGGAAAAUUAUGUACAUUUUGAUUUAGAUGAUGACAUUGCUGUGUGUACCUCUCUCUCUUUGGGCUUAACCUUCUCUUGUGGAUUGUAACGUACGUAGCUUGUAUCUGUUCUCUGUAAAUGGAUGGUACAAGUAGUAACAGAGUUGGUGGUGAUCAUGUCUAGUUAGAUGCGAAGCGAGGAAACUGUCUUGCUCCCAGACCCACAGAAAAUGUUAGUGGAAGCAAUGCAAUGAAAUCCGUUCUCCCCGAGCACCAUUCUGAUCAAAAACCUGCUUCGAAUUAUUUUUCUGGUAUUUAGCUGACUGCCGGGAGGAUAGAUUUGGAGGAGUGCAAGAGAUUUACUCGUGCAUAUUUGAGUUCUUCAGGCUGCUGCUGGGGGAGCUUGAAUUGAAUCAAGAGUGUAAUGCUACCUGAUGAUCUCCAGAGGAAAUCGAACUUAAGUUAUAGAUAUUGAGCACACUGCACAAGAUAGAUUUCUACUCAAGUUUCUAGAUUGAUGCCUUUUUAUGUACAUGUACUGCCAGUAACCGCCUUUCGGCUCUUCACUCUAUGAUUGUCGCGUAAGCAGUGGAGUUGAGCUCACCAUGCAUUGAGAUCAGAUAUUAACUUACAAGUAGGAGUUUCUUAUAUUGGGUCUUCUCUUUUGAAACUAAACCAAGUUAAGAGCUAGUCUUGAUUGAAAUCUAGAGUAAAUGUAGCACAAGUGAUAAAAAUAUUGUUGUUUCCUUCCCUUUCUUUUGUAAAAUGUCUUGAAUGUUUAAACAUAUAUCAUUGAACUUCUUCUUGUACCGAGAA